rnacentral:rRNA from 1 species
UGGCCUUGACAUAGAUAGAAUUUUGCAGAGACGCGAAAGUGCUAGUUUACUAGAGCUAUCAUACAGGUGCUGCACGGCUGUCGUCAGCUCGUGUCGUGAGAUGUUGGGUUAAGUCCCGCAACGAGCGCAACCCUCGUGUUUAGUUAAUAACGGUUCGGCCGAUGACUCUAAACAGACUGCCUGGGUAACCAGGAGGAAGGUGAGGACGACGUCAAGUCAUCAUGGCCCUUACGGCCAGGGCUACACACGUGCUACAAUGGGGUAUACAAAGAGCCGCGAUACCGUGAGGUGGAGCAAAUCUCAUAAAAUAUCUCCCAGUUCGGAUUGAAGUCUGCAACUCGACUUCAUGAAGUUGGAAUCGCUAGUAAUCGUGAAUCAGCAAUGUCACGGUGAAUACGUUCCCGGGUCU